rnacentral:lncRNA from 1 species
AGUUGAAACCUAUUUUAAAAUUGCAUUACAUGAAAUAUACAUUCCAAUACAGCCAGUAUUCAUCUUAUUUCAUUUCUAAAAUGGUUUUUAUCUCUCAAGUUCUAUAACAUAAAAAAUUAGACUAUAUUAACUAUUGAACUGAUUGUUUUUUAAAAUAUGGUUUUUUUGGGGGGUUGUACCAAAGAUGGAACUCAAGACCUCUCCCUUGUCAGGCAGGCAUGGUGCCACUGAGUUACAUCCCAGCAUUAAAAUAUGUAUUUUUUACUUUUAUUAAAAUACACAGGAAAUGUUAGAAAAUAAAAGCCUAUGAAAUUAAUGCAGUUAAUUCUGAUUUUCAUACGGCAGUUUUAAUUUUUCUCAAAAACUAUAAUCCAAAUUUAGAUAGACAUGCUCACUCUUUUUCUGAAGGAAUUUUGUUAAAUUUUAUUAUAUUUUGAUGGACUUAUAAUAAUGUUCACUAUACAUAAUAUUACAAAAGAAAUUAUGACAAACAACCUUGAUUUAUUGUCAUUGCUUUCUUACUUGUCAUGAAAUAUCUUAUAAUAAUUCCAAUUUAUUUAUAUAUUGACUCAAGUUUUUGAGUCAGAAAUUUUGCAAGACAAAGUAAUGUUUCUACCAGUUUUUGAAAGAUUGCUCCUCAGAAAAGUUAUUCAAAUAUUUGUUUUAAUAGAAAACCUUAGAUUAUUUUCUUAUUGAAAAGGAUUAUGGGGCCUGCCAAAGUGGCUCAUACUUGUAAUCUGAGCAUUCUACGAGGCUGAAGCAAGAGGAUUGCAAGUUUUUGCCCAAUCUGGGCAAGUGAACAACUUAAUGAAAACCCUAUCUGAAAAGAAAGUAAUUUAAAAGUAUUGGUGAGGUAGUACGCUGUGAAGGCACCGAGUUCAUACCUCAGUAAAACACACAUACACACACACAGACACACACACACACACACACACUUUAUUCUAAUUCAUGAAUUGUUUUGACAAAUGACUAGUUUUGCUAAUUACAAUAUAUAGGAGAUAUUCUUCACAAAAUGAAUAAAUCUACAGGUAAAAUAAGUGUUUGAGGAAACAUUUAUGAAAUGUUCAUGAGUUUAUAAGAGUUUAUGAAAAAUUAGAAGAAUGUUUGCAAGAAAUACUGUAGUCAGUGGUAGUAAUUAUAUACAUAUUAUUUUCCCCCAAGAUUUCUGAAUGUAUCAUUUUGAGCAGAAUGUCUCCAGUGAAGGAACAGCAAGUAUAAAUGAUUCUCAUUAUUUGUCAUAGUUGUGUUCUAUAAAGUCACAAUAAAUACUAAAUUAUUGAUUGCUGAAUCACUGCUCCUAUGGGAAAUACAGAGUUAAGUAGAGCCACUGGUCACAGCACUUCCAUCAGUGAAUCAAUAAAUUACACUGAAUUCACAGCCAACAGCACUGUAACUCAUCCUUAAAUGAAGCUUCUCUAACAUCCAUAUUUCCCCUCAUAAGGUACAUCACACCCUUCUUGUACUUAGGAACAUUAGAAAGCAUGUCAGUACUAUGCUUGGGGAGUAUUUUAAGCAGAAAAAAAAAUACAAAUCAAAAUGCAUCACAAUUCAAAAAGUAAAAGUGAUGCUGAAUACAUAACAAGUAAUUCAUUUGUAGCUUGUAAACUGAAACGAGAGGCAGCCAUCGUUCUGUUUGACCACAACUGGAAACAUGCAUGUCAAACAGCUCAAACUUGUUGCCAUUCUAGAAAUGGCCAAUGACAAUAAAAGUGUCAUGAAUAUUGAUUUGAGGGUGAUAAAUAAAUAUUAUCAAAUAGAUAAUUCACAAAUAUAGAAUCCACACAGAAUUGAGGAUUGACUCUAUUUUGGUAUGAUUUCCAGAAACUUCAAAAGGCUUUUGCAAGUUAGUACACAAGCAAAAACUUCUCAGCCAGUACUCCUUUGGAUGUAACAUUUUGAGGCAAUGGUCUUCCAGGUUCAGCCUCCCAGGGUGCUGAAAUUUUGUAUAGAACAAUCCUCAUAUAUGUCCCUACUUUGCUGUGUAAUUUCUACAAUGAUUACUUCACACCUUUUUUACUUAUGUCAAACCUUUGAAAUCAAAAGUUCUGUCAUUCUCAUAAAUACUUUUGCCUUCUGAAACUCUAUUGCUUGAUCAAUGUUUUAUAUUCUUUCCAAUAUACAAAAUAUUUAUCUGUACCUGAUUACUCUAUAUCAAAACUUUCUAUUUGCUUCUCUGACUCUCUCAUUAGACUACAAAUUCCAGAAGGCAGGAGUUUUGUUUUUAAUGUUUAUUAUUUUAUCCACUUUAUUUAUCAGGGUUACAAAAUUGUGAUAAAAACAAAAAGGUUUAAAAAUAGGUAAAUAGAAUUUUUGUUUACACAACACAGUUGAAUAAAUAAAAGCAAGACUUCACACUGAUACAAACAUAUAAAACUGUUUUACCAAAAGAACAUAAUGUUUAUUGGAGUGAAAAAGAAAGGGAAAUUUUUGGAUGUAAAAAUAAAACUCAAUGGGGAAAAAAAUAAGAACCAAGAUGCAUCAUGUACAGGUACAAACACCCAAUGAUAAAUGUAAAUGAAUUGUAUACCUAAAAUGUACCAGUAAAAGAACUUAGAAAAAAAAAAACUCAAUAGUAAUUCCAGCAGGCUACUCCUCAGAAAAAUAAAGGCCAGAGACAUUGGAAGAAUAUCUUCAGAGUUUACAGGAAAAAUAAAUGUUAACCAGAAUCUUAUAUACAGAUAAAUUAACAUUAAAUAAUUGUUCUUAAAGUCUUUUUUCAAUCAGAGUCAAGAUAAAAUUCACAAUCCCUCAUUGAAAAUAUUGCUAAAAGGAUAAACAUAUUGAAGAAAAUUGAAUUUUGAAGAUGAAUAGAAUUAAGUAGAAUAACUGAAAUAAUUCUGUAAAUAGGAAACCCCAAACAUUAUUGCUCAAAAAAUAUAGCAACAACAGCAACAACAAUAAAAUUAACAACAACAACAGUAACAACAACUGUGACAACAAGGACUGAUCUUGUGAUGAAGUGCUAUUGAAUGUUAGCAUUAUGUAUACUUCUUACCUUCUGGACAAUUGUUUCUCUUCACCUCAUUUUGACUAUAAAUAAUUUGGUCAAACGUCAUGUCUGCGUCAGGCAAGAAUUCCUCAACAUGAUUUUUUACCUUUUUAAAUUAUCCUUCCUCUUCCUUUUAUAUAUGAAUAUUGAUCACAGACACCAAAGACUCUAUAAGUAGAUAAUCAAUUCCAGUACUGUAUUAUGGACAACAAAUUUCAAAUACUGCAUAUCAACAACAGAAAACUCAAUUUUUUUAUUUACUAUUUGAUAAAAACAAUGUAGAUGGUAAAGACAGUAUUAAACUUAAGUCACUGAAGAGGAUGAUUCAAGUUCAAGAAAACUUACUACUCUUCUGACCUUGGACCUAACCACUUCGGCCCUUUAUUGUCUUCUAAAGAAAAGAUUAAAAUGUUUUUUGCUCACCCCAUUGACUUUGGAAAACACAUAUGCAAAUCACUGAAAAUAUAUGAAGGACAUUUGUAACAACAUAAUGCCGUCCAAAUGCAAAGAAAUACUACUCUGGGACACUAGCUUUAAGACACGUAGAUUCAAGCUUUCUUCAAAAAAUCCUUCUCCUAGAUGAAUUUACUUUUUUAGAAGUCUUUCUUCUUGAACUGAAUUGUCAAGAGUUGAGGCUGGACUUAGAAACUAGUGAAAUUGUUACUUAGCUAUCAAGCACAUAGCGAUGAUAUUCCAAAUUCUAUGUCUCAUGUGGGGUCAAACUAAAAAAUAGUUUAGUUCACAUCAAACAGGAGAGGAAAAUGAGAGCCUCUGUGAGACAAGAUUGACAGAAAUUUCAGAAAGCAAAGUCUUAUGCUUUUGUAAGAGCAAAGAAUCCAGUUGGAGGGAAUCCUUAUGGAUUUCUCUGACUUGCAGCAGUAAUAAGGAGAGACUGAGCACAUUCAGACAUGGUCCAGUGCAAAAUAAGAAAAGCUACAAUACUGCUUUUAUUUGCCAUUUAUCUGUUAGAUACUUAUCUAUUUAUCUGUUAGAUGGACUUAUUCCUCUGUCAAUUGAGACCCAUGACAAAUUAGAAAAAAGUAAGAAAAUCAGGAUUAAAACAAAGAGUGUGAAAUCUUGAAAUCAAUUUUAAUGUAUUGAUAUUGAAUCAUAACAUUGUAUUCAUUUAAUAAUUAUUUUUAAUUCUAUCUUCCCCAUAACCACACCCAAAAUAAUAAUAGGUACAGAUAGAAAAAUAGUCUGAAGUCUUAAAAUAUUUUUAAAUAAAGGUUUUGUUAAUGAACAGAAGGAAAAAUGGAACAUUUUGACUUAUUCUGGGCAUAAUGUUAAAUUUAUUUAAAAAUUCAAGAUGAUAUAAUUUCUUUUAAAAUUAUAUUCUUAUAUUAGUACUACACUUUUGAAAAUUAGAGUUAAUGUGGCAUUUUGACCACCACUGUCCAACAGAAAUAUAAUUUUGGACAUAUGUACAACUUUAAAUUUUUAUUUAACCUAAUGUAUCUAAAAUAUUUUCACAUAUAAUCAAUAUAUUUUCAAAAUGCAAUCAAUUUCAAAACAGGUAUUGAUUAUAUAUUUCAUAUAUUUCAUUUUAAAUAUGAUACAGUAUUGUUUUGGUUUCAGGGAAUCUUGAUGGUAGGGGCGAUUAUACAGAUGAUAUAUUUGGUUUUUUACAAGUUAAACUGUACACUUGAACUGGAUGCAUUUUAUAUAAGUAUGAUGUCAACAUGGAUAUACAAUAUUAAUAUACCAUUAAAUAUUAAAAAGUAUCUAAUAAAUAAAAACACUAACUUGUUGCAAAAAGAAUAAAAACCACUAAAUAGAUUAAUAAAUAAUAAUUAAAGUGGUAGUCAAAGACUACUUAACUUAUUAAAAAGAUGCCCAUAGCUUCACAGGUCAGUUUUCCUAAAUGUUUUAAGCAUAUGUAAUUAUCUUCUACAAGUUGUCACAACAAAUUAUAAAAGAGCAAAAAUUACCCAAAUCGCUUUUCUAAACCGUUGUUACUUUAAUUAACAAAGUGUACUCAGAAAAUACAAAGCAAGGAAAUUACAGGACUUCUUCAUUUGUAAUGACAGAUAAAAAUUCUUAAGAAAAUCCUAAGUAACUGAUUUCUAUUGUACGUAACAAUAAUAAUGAUUUUUAAAAAUCAGGAUAAAAUGCAGUGUUUUAUUUGCUCACAUUUAAGUGAGUUGAUUAAAUUGAUCUCUAGUAUGGAACUUAUGAGCAACUGUGUAGAUUUUGUUUCAGUUCCUCCCAAACAAUUUCAUCUGGCCCUCAGCAUGGUGUGGAUGAUCGGUGUUAGUAGAAGCCAAUCUUCCUUUAUUCAGACUCUGUGUCCAUCAAAUGGAGCCUUUAGGAGAUUAGAAUGAACAUAUUACAUUCAUUUGGAAAUACAAGCAUCACCUGUAUAUCAAUCAUUACUUAAACUAGGACCAUCCAAAUGACCUGUGGGAACUGACUGAUUUAUCUUCAAGAUCAAUCUGAAGGUGAACUAAUGUGAUCUUUUCCUUUGAUUUCCUUUAUUAGUCAAAGUUCUGUCAGUUCAAUAAAUAGAUAUGUUAUAUGUAACUACUCACAAAGUAGAUGGAAAAGAAGAAACGCAAACAUCAUCCUUGUUAAAACCUAUGAAAUUAGAGACUAGAGUUGUCUGCCAAGAGAUGGAACUGAGGAACAAAUGUAGCCACUUUGAGAAUUCCCAUUCAAGAAUCCUCAGAGUGGGAAGUAUGAUCCAGCUUUCAUUUUGUCCGCAUACUCCAGUGUGCUGCCAUUGAUUCUUGGAACUAGACAGGAACUUACCUGAGAUACAAAGUGUACACUGCUCACUUUUGUUGAUACAUGCAUCAAAUAUAUGAUAUCCAAUUUUUUUUUUUUUUUGGUACUGGGGAUCAAACUUGGGUCUUUGCACUUGAGAGGCAGGCAGCAGAACCACUGAGCUAAAUCCCCAGCCCCUUCAAAUACAUGAUAAUAAAAACAUUUUUUAUAAAAAGAUCAGGUUAGAGACAGGAUGAGUUUGAGGACAAACAAGAUAUAAUCAACACAAUUUCUUUUUAUAUCUGUCAGCUGACCUUUUCUCAGAUGAUGAUAGAUAAUUUUUCUAGGAGGAAAAAUACACUUUAUGUUUACCAAAAUAAGACUGAUAAAUUUAUUUCUUGUCUCAGUCACAAGUAAACUUACUACCUGAUCUGUAUUUCUAUCACUCAGUAACAAAUGUUCGCUUUUACCUGAAUGAAUGUAACAUUUUUAAUAGUAUGAACAAAAUGAGGAAAACUGAUUAAGAUAGUAGUUUUCUCUCCUUAUGCCUUCAUAAUCCUUUGUUUUCACCCUGAAGCAGAUGAGCAUUCAUUGUCAGGGAGCUAUUGAUGACCCAUCUUUAGGUGCAGGCAACAGAUAUUCGAAGAGAGUGAAUACACACAGCCAAACAGGUGGCUUGAUAUGAAGGUUUAAAUCCAUCCCCUUGCCCCACACACAAAAUUUAUUUUCAUGCUUGCUCUAUCGAGUGGAAAGAGAUGGGAAUAUAUUAGAUUUCUGUGGAUGCUACAACAAAUUACCACAAUCUGUUCAACAUAAAAUGAAAACAAAUCGUUCUUUAAGUUCUGGAAAACAAAAGUCUGAAGUUAAGAUGUUUCAAAGACCUACUCCCUUCAGACUCUUCCUGUCACCUGGCUUUUCCUGGCUGUUAGUGACCUGGAAAGAAUUCACUUGGACUAUCUCACCAGUGAUGUGAGACCAUGCACAAGUGAGGAAGUGGUUUCAAAGCAAGUUUAUUGCAAAGUAGGAUAUGGUUAGAAGGCAAGCUGGGAUGCCACCAUAGUCUUUGUGACCCCAUUUGUUAUGUUUUUUUAAAUUUUUCUAUACUUCUUGAUGUGGGGUAUUUCCCACUCUACUCCUUCAGACAUAUGAUUUACCCCUGCCCUACAUUCAAUUUUGAAGUAUGCAUAUAUUUUCCAAUCAUUCUUCUGUAAUUAAUGGCAUACAUGAGAUGUGGUGCCUAUGUAUGAAGCCAUAAGCAUAUGAUGAGGAGGAUAGGUCAACCCAAGGACACUUGGGGCAAUCAGUGCACAUGGCCUGCUCGGUGGACAGUCCGUAGCUCUCUUUUGUGUGUAGUCUAUGGUCACCUCUCCACUUAGGGUUCUCUUUGACUUGUUGAGAUGCUCUCAUACCUUGGCCCCUUCCCAUUAUUAAACAAAGCUAAAUAUUAUUCCCAUUAUUAAACAAACACAGUUCAACCAUCCUUGACCACCUGCCACAAGAACUACCUGCACCAUGUUAACAGUUCUAGAGACCACCUCCUACUGCUCAUAUAUGACUCUCUUUCUAUAUUAUCAUUCAUAUUCUAGCUUCUAGGAACUAUCAGUCUCCUUAACUUUCUCAACUUAGUGGCCAUUGUUCAUCAUCUAUUUGUCACUAUAACAAACAAACAAAAAAAGAAAAUCAAUUAAAGAGGAAAGUUUUGCUUUGCCUCACAGUUUUAGUGGUUUCAGUCCCUGACCACCUGAUUGAAUUGCUGUGUGCCUGUGGAAAAGCAGAAACAUCAUGGUGAAAGAGCAUGGCAGAGGAAAGCUGCUCAUCUUAUGGCAGUAGGAACCAGAGACAGUGAGAAAAAGCCAGAGAGGAAGGACAGAGGACUAGAUUUAUUUCCUAAAACCACAAGCCCAUGAUGUAUUUCUUCAUCUCCUAUUUUCAUAACCUCCUCAUAAUGCCAUCAAGUAUGAUCUCAUCAAUGGGUUAAUCCAUUUGGUAAAAUUAUAGCCCUCAUGAUCUGAUCACUUCCCAAAAAGCCCAUGAACUACAACCAAGUUUUUUAGCCAUGAGCUUUUGGAGGACAUUUCAAAGCCAAAUUACAACAGGGUCCAUCGAUCUAACCUCUGACUUCUUCACAUCCCGUCUUCUCUUUGGUUUGUGUAUUUUUCUUAUUUGUUGUCUAAAAUUUCCCUCUGCCUUUCUCUCAUAAGGAACCAUGUCAUUUUGGGGUCUAUUCCUAUAAUAGUAGAGUAUCACAUAUUAAAAUUUUUGACAUAAAGUCCCCUUUUCCAAGUGGAGUAGCUUUUAAGAUGUCUUCAUUUUGAAAGGUAAACUGCAAGACUAAUAAAAUUUAGCUUCAAUAUAUUUCUCUCUUGGAAACAGAAAGAUCAAAACAAAUUUAUCUUCUCUUACAAACUUUGACUUAUGUUAGUUUCCAAAGUUUUACUUUUGCUUCUACAAUGAUACUUCUUUAACUAGAGCCAUCUAUUUUUUGGGGAAUUAAUACAGAGCUCCAGAAGGGAUUCCAAUUGCAAUACCAAAUUGCACUGAAACAGAUUAAUUCAGGAGGCCUAUUUCCAUGCUUUGCACACACCUAUAAUACAAUGUACACAUGCAUCAAUGUGACUGUGUAGGCUGUCGACCUGGGAAAAUGUCAGGAUGAAAAGAUAUAUAAGGUACACAUACAAGUCUUAAUUUUUCACAGACCUCAUAUAUUCUCCUCUGCUGGCUACUCCAGGAAAUGACUGUAGCAAAUUGGUGGCAACUACUAAUUUCAGACUGCUGUGCUAAGCCUAGCAAAAGUACACAUGACUACUGUACCAUGUUGGAAAUAGAGAAGCACAAUAAAAUUGCAAACUUGUCUAACUAGUUGAGAAAUACUCAAGGGUCAUUUUGAAUGACAGUCUUCUAGCUCUGCACAAAGUAUAAGCUAAUCCCAGAAAAUGGAAUCCCCAUAGAAAAAAAUCAGUAUACUUCAUCAUUUGAUAUUGCUAUAUGCCACAUUUUUUUGAUAUACAUUUUUUUAAGGGGAAAUGGUUUAUUUGGUUUACAGUUUGUAGAGGUUUCAGUCCAUAAUUGUGUGGCUCCAAAGAAGGGUGACAUGGCAGACAGGCCUUCCAGAGGAAAAAUAGUUCAUGGUGCCCACACAGUAGCAAAAGCAACAAAUGACCUUAAGAGCAUUUUUUCUGCCCCUUUUAUCUUAUUCAGAAUUUAAGGUGGGUUGUAGUGCCCUCAAGCCUAGCCCCACCAUGAAUCAAUCACACACUCUAGAUUCAGCCACUUCCAUAAUAGCCCCACUUCAUUCUUAUGAGGCUUUGGGGGAAACAUCUAAACACAAGCCAUAACAUUCUUCCCCUGGUCCCUCAUAGAUUCAUGUACAUUCCUUUACUCAAAAGGCAUUUAGUCCAUCUCUAAGAGUAUUGGUGAAAAGUUUCAGUAUUGGUGAAAAGUCCAAAUUCAAUGUCUCCUCUGCAAUUUAAGGCAAAAUGGCAAACUGGCAAACUCUUAGCUGCAAGCCCCUGUACAAAUGGAAAGAAAGUUAAACACUUCCAACAUUCAGUGGCACAGCACAAGAUAGACAUUCCAAAAGUUACAGACAGGAAGAUACAAAGGAAUGGGAACAAUGCAAGUCCAAAACCCACCAGGGCAAACACUAAAUCCCACAGUUCUACUUCCAGCAUACCCAGCAAGUUAUGAACUCCAAAGGGCUUAGUGGCUCUGCCCCUGACACAUUUCUGUGGUUGUAGCUUCCAUGGCUCCCUUCUUGGGCUGGCUAUGCUCCCUCCUUGCAGUUUUCCUCAGAAGAUCUAUGAUCCUGGCUUCUCCAACAUUUGCGGUCUCUACUGCACUUUUGGUUUCACACUCACAGGUUCAAACACUGCCCUCUCAGGGGCACACUGCCUGGCCUCCCAGGCCUUCUUCUGAAAUAUGGGUGGAAGCCUUCCUGACCACAAAACUCUUGGAUUCUGAAUGCUCCUGAAACCAGCACCAUAUGGAUGACACCAAGGUCUGCUGCCAGCUGGAGCUGUAGCCAGGCUUCCUUCUCUCUUAGUUGAAAGGGUGGCAUGGCAGCUAUGUGCCUAUGAACCAAAUCCCUAGGAACAACAUCCCUAGGCUGUUGUCAUUCUGGAGCAUGGUGCUCUGGGGAUCUCUUCUGAAAGCCAAGCCCUUCACUUUUGCAAUUUUGAGGUUUCAAAGGCUGGAGUCCUGCUGUUGCUUGUAAUGUCCUUAGGCCAUCUUUUCUAUUCUCCUGCCCCUUCUCAGCAAUCAAGAUUUACUCUGUUCUGUCUUUGCAGUUCACAGCUUUACUGGAACUUCCUUUCUAGCCACACUCACAGAAUUUUAAAUCAUUCCUCUGGGCUUUUUGCUCUUGAUUCUCAACCUAGAUCUGGCUAAAAGCCCUCAACAGCAGCCACACCAUGGCCUCCACAAUAGCCUGCCUUGAAAUUUCUUCUGUGAAAUUAAUUAGUCCACCACACUUAAUGUCAGUCUCAAGGAAAGCCUCUGAACAUGAGCAAAAUGCAGACAAAAUUUCUGCCAAGCUUAACACACAUCUUCUGGAGUCCAAUAGCCAAUGUGAUUCUUCAUCCGAGCAGUAACCUCCUGAGCCUGGUUUUUAUCAGUCUUCUCCUCUUCUGAGCUCUGAUCAGAACUUCUCAUACAGAACAGCUUAAGAUGUUCCAGUUCUACAUCUACAGCCAGCCUCUCCAACUCUUUCCUUUCCUUUUCCACAAGCAAGUUCCAAAGGCUCUUGAGCCACUUGGCCAGGUAAUGUCACAGCAACAACCCCACUCUCAGUACCAAAUUUCUGGGUUAGUUACUUUUCUCAUUGCUGAAACAAAAUACCUGGCACCCAAAGUUAAAAGGGAAAGGGUUUAUUCGGCAAACAGUUCAUAGAGGUUUCAGUCCAUAAUUGUCUGGCUUCAAGGAAGGGUGGCUUGGCAGACAAGCCUUCCAGAGGCAAAAUAGUUCACGGUACCCACACGGUAGCAAAAGCAACAAGAGACUUUAAGAGCGUUUUUUUCUUCCCCUUUUAUUUUAUUCAGACUACUUAGGGUGGGUAGAACUCAUACCCUUAAUCUUAGUGCUCUCAGGCCUAGCCCCACCAUGAUUCAAUCACACAUUCUAGAUUCAGCCACCUCCAAAAUAGCCCCACCUCAUUCGCACAAGGCCUUGGGGCAACAUUUAAACACAAACCAUAAUAUAUAGUGAGCUGCUUAAGUCUCAAAUUAUACAAAAAGCUUGAGUCAUUAUCAGCCACAGCAGGGCAUAGAGCUCCAUGUCACUCCCCAGAUACACACCUCACACCCAUGUGCCCAAUGUGACGAAGCUGGGGAAGAUACUUCUCAUUCACACAGCUCAGGGAUAGAAAUAAAAGAGGCUGCUCCUGCCCAAUGUCACCUAAGAAACAGAGCCUGCACUUAUUCAUCAGUUCUGCCUCACUCCAGAACCCAAGUCUUCACUCCUAUGCUAUGUAUGACAGACCAUAUAUCAGGUCCUGAGGACACAGUGGUAACCAAAACAAGCAAGACCCUGUCUCUAUAAAGCUGCCCAACCAGUUUGGACAGUUAUUUUUAGAACUGUUUACACUAAUGGAAAAGCAUAUACUACCAGGAAAUCCUAACCUGGGGAAGACUUCUCUUACAAAGUGGUAUUCAAGCUCAGACCUAAAGUAUAAGCAAGAGUUGGCCAGGGGAGGAGUAGAAAAU